rnacentral:rRNA from 1 species
UACGAAGGGGGCUAGCGUUGCUCGGAAUCACUGGGCGUAAAGCGCACGUAGGCGGCUUUUUAAGUCAGGGGUGAAAUCCUGGAGCUCAACUCCAGAACUGCCUUUGAUACUGGGAAGCUCGAGUCCGGGAGAGGUGAGUGGAACUCCGAGUGUAGAGGUGAAAUUCGUAGAUAUUCGGAAGAACACCAGUGGCGAAGGCGGCUCACUGGCCCGAUACUGACGCUGAGGUGCGAAAGCGUGGGGAGCAAACAGG